rnacentral:rRNA from 1 species
UACGUAGGGGGCAAGCGUUAUCCGGAAUCACUGGGCGUAAAGGGUGCGUAGGCGGUUUAACAAGCCAGAGGUGAAAGGCAUUAGCUCAACUAAUGUAAGCCUUUGGAACUGUUUAACUUGAGUACAGGAGAGGUAAGUGGAAUUCCUAGUGUAGCGGUGAAAUGCGUAGAUAUUAGGAGGAACACCAGUGGCGAAGGCGACUUACUGGACUGAAACUGACGCUGAGGCACGAAAGCGUGGGGAGCAAACAGG